AUUUGAAAUUCCAUUUCUAUCUCCCUGUCAAACUUCGGGCAUUUGCUACAGUCCGUGAACAUGCUCAGCAUCAUCAGGGAAUGCUACAUCUUGGAUCUGGGCGUCGCUGUUUCUCAUCGUCAGGGAUCAAGGAUACUGCUGGGUCGCGUAUGGUUUCGGUCGAGAUGUUAUGAGUGCUUCCGGAGUAUUUUGGGGAGUCCGGCAUUGAACUUCGAAGCUUCUACACUAAAAUCUUGAAGUUUCGAGAGUUUGAGUUUGAAAAAUGACAAAAAACAUCCUCACCAUCAUUAGGGAAUACUGCAUCUGGGAUCAGGGCGUCGCUGUGUCUCAUUCUCAGCAAUCAAGGAUAGUGCUAGACCUCGUCAGGAUGUUUUGAGUGCUUCGG